rnacentral:tRNA from 1 species
GACCGCGUAGCUCAGUUGGCAGAGCAUUGGACUAGUAUCCCAAAGGUCGUAGGUUCGAUUCCCCCCCGUGGCCA